GCCAGUGGUGAACUCCACAUACGCAUCCUUUGCUGAGGAUACGGUUAACGGAGCGCAAGCGACGUUCAACCUCAAAAGAAGCAGAGGGGGCUUAGUGGUGGGGUGACUGCGUACCUUUUGUAUAAUGGGUCAGCGACUUAUAUUCUGUAGCAAGGUUAACCGUAUAGGGGAGCCGGAGGGAAACCGAGUCUUAACCGGGCGUUAAGUUGCAGGGUAUAGACCCGAAACCCGGUGAUCUAGCCAUGGGCAGGUUGAAGGUUGGGUAACACUAACUGGAGGACCGAACCGACUAAUGUUGAAAAAUUAGCGGAUGACCUGUGGCUGGGGGUGAAAGGCCAAUCAAACCGGGAGAUAGCUGGUUCUCCCCGAAAGCUAUUUAGGUAGCGCCUCGUGAAUUCAUCUCCGGGGGUAGAGCACUGUUUCGGCUAGGGGGCCAUCCCGGCUUACCAACCCGAUGCAAACUGCGAAUACCGGAGAAUGUUAUCACGGGAGACACACGGCGGGUGCUAACGUCCGUCGUGAAGAGGGAAACAACCCAGACCGCCAGCUAAGGUCCCAAAGUCAUGGUUAAGUGGGAAACGAUGUGGGAAGGCCCAGACAGCCAGGAUGUUGGCUUAGAAGCAGCCAUCAUUUAAAGAAAGCGUAAUAGCUCACUGGUCGAGUCGGCCUGCGCGGAAGAUGUAACGGGGCUAAACCAUG
rnacentral:rRNA from 1 species